UCCCAUGUUUCAAUAUUUUUA
rnacentral:piRNA from 1 species